GCAGACUACGGACUGAAACCUCGGCAAACUGAGACUUCUUCACAACCCGGAGAACACAGAGGCGGUUGUGUUUCCUGCAUCGAGGACUGCCAGCAUUUAAGCAGAACAUGUUCUUGCAUGAGUUCUGCACAGAGAGUGAAUUACUCUGACGAUGAGUACCAUCAUUUCGAACGUUGCCUUCUAAGUGGCGUGGUGAUAUCACAGAUCCAGAGUGAGAUCACCGUAAUAUCACAGAUCCAAGCAUCUUCUGGUGGUUCUGAAGUUUUGAGGGAUUAAGAACUCCAAAUGGAUGACCCCAAAACAAGUUCAAUUUGUCACUCCCAGGAUUGCUGAUCACAAGUUGACCUUCCAUACUGCUAGUGGCAGUAGAUAUAUGAAAAUACCAGUGAUUUUCAGAGCAUCAUUUCCCUCCUCUAUGUGAGUUUUUGCAUCAACUUGGAAAAAAUUCAACCUAGAACAUAUGCUUUCCUUGAAAAUGUAUUACUAUUUGGCUUUGUGUUUAUAAUAAUUGGAUCAAAGAU